rnacentral:lncRNA from 1 species
UUGAAAAUGUAGGAUUUCAACCGUCUUCACCGUAGUGGUGGUGAUAAGAGUGAUCAGUGGGGAUGGUGCUUACAAAUUUCAAUGGCGCCGGUGUUGGAUUCGGUUUUGGUGUCGGUUGUGGUUUCGGCGUUGGAUGGGGCUUCGGAGGGUGAAAGAGCUGCCAAGCAGCAGAUGGAGGUAUGCCUUUGAAUUUUCUAGGUCUCGGUGCAGGUGGAGGCUGUGGAGUCGGGUUGGGCCUUGGAUGGGGAUUUGGUGCAGGAUUUGGUAGCAAGUACCGGUCUUCGAGGGUUGUUUUUCAGGGUGUGGAGUUCAAUAAGAAGAGUGAAAUCGAAGGUACAAAGUAGUCUUGAAAGCGUCUUGUAUCGUUUAAUGCCAUUUAGAAACUUCUAUUUACCAACUCAAGCAUGUGGCAGUGAUAUUGUAUCCCAUAUGGCCAUUUGUUGAGUAACAUGAACAAAAACUUAGGUUUGUUAUUUAAACUUCCGAGUUAUGUGGAAAAAUGUCAAGUUUCGGACCAUGUAGAUGUUAGUGGAUUGAUUUGGAUUGCAUUAUAUGUCAAACGGGUCAAUCAAAAGGUUUAAGCUAAAAGGCCAACACGGGUUGAUCAUCGCCCAAAGUCUAUUUUUGAUUGUUACAAUCUAUAAAAAAAUCAUUU